rnacentral:rRNA from 1 species
GAUGAACGCUAGCGGCAGGCCUAACACAUGCAAGUCGAGGGGUAGAACACUUCGGUGUUUGAGACCGGCGCACGGGUGCGUAACGCGUAUGCAAUCUGCCUUACACUAAGGGAUAGCCCAGAGAAAUUUGGAUUAAUACCUUAUAGUAUAUUGAUGUGGCAUCACAUUAUUAUUAAAGAUUUAUUGGUGUAAGAUGAGCAUGCGUCCCAUUAGCUAGUUGGUAUGGUAACGGCAUACCAAGGCAAUGAUGGGUAGGGGUCCUGAGAGGGAGAUCCCCCACACUGGUACUGAGACACGGACCAGACUCCUACGGGAGGCAGCAGUGAGGAAUAUUGGUCAAUGGGCGCAAGCCUGAACCAGCCAUGCCGCGUGCAGGAUGAAGCAUCUAUGGUGUGUAAACUGCUUUUGUACGGGAAGAAACACUCCUUCGUGAAGGAGCUUGACGGUACCGUAAGAAUAAGGAUCGGCUAACUCCGUG